AUCCUGCUAUUCUAGAAGAACUGAAAGAUAACACCAGCAGAACUCCUCGGGUAUGUGGAUGACCCACUUUGCCAGUACAACUGGAAAAAACAAGCUGUUAUCUACAACCACAAAGAGCCGUAACGCUGGUAUAGAAACUGCAGUGCUGGCAUGAACCAUUCUUCCACAAGGCACUUGUGCUGAAAAAUUCAGACACAGCAUCACACACUUCAAGCAUAUCUUGAAAAGGAAGAUGUGAUGCAUGAUGGUGAUUUGGAUAAUCUACACAUUGAGAGUUUGCAGGCUGUUAACAUUUCCUGCAUUUCAUGUCUCUGUCCCAAGCCUGAACCCUUGAACCUGGAGUUUUUGUACCAAUAAAAAUAGUUUGCUUUA